rnacentral:rRNA from 1 species
GACGAACGCUGGCGGCGUGCCUAACACAUGCAAGUCGAACGGGGUAAAUUGCUUCGGUGAUUUACUUAGUGGCGAACGGGUGAGUAACGCGUGAGAAACCUGCCUCUCAGUGGGGGACAACAGUUGGAACGACUGCUAAUACCGCAUAACAUAUUGAAAUCGCAUGGUUUUAAUAUCAAAGAUUUAUCGCUCAAGGAUGGGCUCGCGGCCGAUUAGGUAGUUGGUGAGGUAACGGCUCACCAAGCCGACGAUCGGUAGCCGAACUGAGAGGUUGAUCGGCCGCCAUUGGGGACUGAGACACGGCCCAGACUCCUACGGGAGGCAGCAGUGGGGGGAGUAUUGCACAAUGGGGGGAAACCCGUCGAUGCAGCAACGCCGCGUGAGGGAAGACGGUCUUCGGAUUGUAAACCUAAGUUGUCAGGGACGAAACACGACGGUACCUGAAGAGAAAG